rnacentral:tRNA from 1 species
UCCCUGGUAGCUCAGAGGUUAAAGCAUCUGCCUGCAAUGCAGAAGAUCUGGGUUCAAUCCCUGGGUCGGGAA